UGGGAUAGGUAGAGAAGAGGAUCAAGAACCAGGUCCUGAGGGACUUGCAGGCCAUUCUGAAGCUACCUGAGGGUGAGCGGAGGAGGGAUUUUUUAUCCUUUGGCAAAGAUAUGCUGUCCGUUUUGAUAGCUGUGGGGACAGCUAGGGGACAAGCAUACGCACAGGCAGCUGGGGACUCAGUGGCGCUUAGUCACAGAGCAGCAGUGCAGAGGCCGGAGCGGAGCGGCGAAGCGCAGCUUCACUUCCGGGUUGUGACGUACGAUGACGUCACUUCUGGAUACACGCGUUUGGAUGGCGCGAACACUGGAAGCAGCUGUUACGCCCUAUGAUUGGCCAUAGACUUAGCGAGUGAGCACUUCGGCUGCGCCCGUAACGAAGGAAGUUCCAGGGGAGCUGUUUGAUAUGGCUGAAAGAUACCGGCAAUUAAAGAUAAAGAAGGAUAGCGAAAGAGACCUAAUACCCAGCAAGGGAUGCUGGCGAGAAAACUUUUGAUUUCAGAGUAUGAAUAUCACUCUUACUAAAGAAGAGGUUUUUCUAAGCAACUGAUUAAACAUUUUGAAUGGU